rnacentral:rRNA from 1 species
CCUACGGGGGGCAGCAGUGGGGAAUAUUGCACAAUGGGGGAAACCCUGAUGCAGCGACGCCGCGUGAGUGAAGAAGUAUUUCGGUACGUACAGCUCUAUCAGCAGGGAAGAAAAUGACGGUACCUGACUAAGAAGCCCCGGCUAACUACGUGCCAGCAGCCGCGGUAAUACGUAGGGGGCAAGCGUUAUCCGGAUUUACUGGGUGUAAAGGGAGCGUAGACGGCAGCGCAAGUCUGGAGUGAAAUCCCAUGGCUUAACCAUGGAACUGCUUUGGAAACUGUGCAGCUAGAGUGCAGGAGAGGUAAGCGGAAUUCCUAGUGUAGCGGUGAAAUGCGUAGAUAUUAGGAGGAACACCAGUGGCGAAGGCGGCUUACUGGACUGUAACUGACGUUGUGGCUCGAAAGCGUGGGGAGCAAACAGGAUUAGAUACCCCAGUAGUC